rnacentral:rRNA from 1 species
AUAUUGGACAAUGGGGGCAACCCUGAUCCAGCCAUGCCGUGUGUGUGAAGAAGUUAUUCGGAUUGUAAAAUACUGUAAGUUGGGAGGAAGUGCGUUCGGUUACUACGCUGCAGUUGUGACGUAACCAACAGAAUAAGCACCGUCUAACUCUGUGCAAGCAGCCGCGGUAAUACAGAGGGUGCAAGUGUUAAUCGGAAUUACUGGGCGUAAAGCGCGCGUAGGUGGUUCAGUAAGAUGGGUGUGAAAUCCCCGGGCUUAACCUGGGAACUGCUUUCAUAACUGCUGAGCUAGAGUACGGUAGAGGGUAGUGGAAUUUCCUGUGUAGCGGUGAAAUGCGUAGAUAUAGGAAGGAACACCAGUGGCGAAGGCGACUACCUGGACUGAUACUGACACUGAGGUGCGAAAGCGUGGGGAGAAAACA